rnacentral:rRNA from 1 species
GGGAUAACGACCGGAAACGGACGCUAAAACCGCAUAGGCUGGGAAUUCGCAUGAGGAUCCAGUUAAAUAUCCUUUAGGGGAUAGGCAAAGGAGGGACUUAUCACGCAUUAGCUAGUUGGUGGGGUAACGGCCUACCAAGGCGACGAUGCGUAGCCGGCCUGAGAGGGCGGACGGCCACACUGGAACUGAGACACGGCCCAGACUCCUACGGGAGGCAGCAGUAGGGAAUUUUCGGCAAUGGGCGAAAGCCUGACCGAGCAACGCCGCGUGAACGAAGAAGGUCUUCGGAUUGUAAAGUUCUGUUAUAGAGGAAGAAUGGUGUACGAAGGAAAUGGCGUACAAGUGACGGUACUCUGUGAGGAAGCCACGGCUAACUACGUGCCAGCAGCCGCGGUAAUACGUAGGUGGCGAGCGUUAUCCGGAAUCAUUGGGCGUAAAGAGGGAGCAGGCGGCCUGGAGGGUCUAUUGUUAAAGGCAAUGGCUUAACCAUUGUAAGGCGAAGAAACCGGCAGGCUAGAGUUCUAAAGAGGAUCGUGGAAUUCCAUGUGUAGCGGUGAAAUGCGUAGAUAUAUGGAGGAACACCAGUGGCGAAGGCGACGAUCUGGGAAGAAACAGACGCUGAGUCCCGAAGGCGUGGGGAGCAAAUAGGAUUAGAUACCCUAGUAGUCCACGCCGUAAAC